rnacentral:snRNA from 1 species
GUACUCACUUUGGCAGCACAUACAGUAGAACUGGAAUGAUUUAGAGAAGAUUAGCAUGGCCCCUAUGCAAAUUCAUGAAGUGUUCAUAUAUUUU